rnacentral:rRNA from 1 species
UACGAAGGGGGCUAGCGUUGUUCGGAAUUACUGGGCGUAAAGCGUACGUAGGCGGAUUGUUAAGUGAGGGGUGAAAUCCCGAGGCUCAACCUCGGAACUGCCUUUCAUACUGGCAAUCUUGAGUCCGGGAGAGGUGAGUGGAACUCCUAGUGUAGAGGUGAAAUUCGUAGAUAUUAGGAAGAACACCAGUGGCGAAGGCGGCUCACUGGCCCGGAACUGACGCUGAGGUACGAAAGCGUGGGGAGCAAACGGG